UGGGGAAUAUUGGGCAAUGGGCGAAAGCCUGACCCAGCAACGCCGCGUGAAGGAAGAAGGUCUUCGGAUUGUAAACUUCUUUUAUAAGGGACGAAGGACGUGACGGUACCUUAUGAAUAAGCCACGGCUAACUACGUGCCAGCAGCCGCGGUAAUACGUAGGUGGCAAGCGUUAUCCGGAUUUACUGGGUGUAAAGGGCGCGUAGGCGGGGAUGCAAGUCAGAUGUGAAAUCUAUGGGCUUAACCCAUAAACUGCAUUUGAAACUGUAUCUCUUGAGUGCUGGAGAGGUAGAUGGAAUUCCUUGUGUAGCGGUGAAAUGCGUAGAUAUAAGGAAGAACACCAGUGGCGAAGGCGAUCUACUGGACAGUAACUGACGCUGAGGCGCGAAAGCGUGGGGAGCAAACAGGA
rnacentral:rRNA from 1 species